rnacentral:rRNA from 1 species
UACGUAGGGUGCAAGCGUUGUUCGGAAUUACUGGGCGUAAAGGGCUCGUAGGUGGCCAACUAAGUCAGACGUGAAAUCCCUCGGCUUAACCGGGGAACUGCGUCUGAUACUGGAUGGCUUGAGUUCGGGAGAGGGAUGCGGAAUUCCUUGUGUAGCGGUGAAAUGCGUAGAGAUCAGGAAGAACACCGGUGGCGAAAGCGCUCUGCUAGGCCGCAACUGACACUCAUGGACGAAAGCUAGGGGAGCGAAUGGG